GCUUCCUACGGGAGGCAGCAGUGGGGAAUAUUGCGCAAUGGGGGAAACCCUGACGCAGCAACGCCGCGUGAGUGAGGAAGGACUUCGGUCUGUAAAGCUCUGUUAAUGUGGAAAAAUGGUAGCUGGUCUAAUAGGCCGGCUAUUUGAUGGUACACAUAGAGGAAGCACCGGCUAACUUCGUGCCAGCAGCCGCGGUAAUACGAAGGGUGCAAGCGUUGUUCGGAUUUAUUGGGCGUAAAGCGCGCGUAGGCGGACCUGUAAGUCAGAUGUGAAAUCUCGGGGCUCAACCUCGAAACUGCGUCUGAAACUGCAGGUCUAGAAUCUCGGAGGGGGAAGGGGAAUUUCGCAUGUAGGGGUAAAAUCCGUAGAUAUGCGAAGGAACACCAGAGGCGAAGGCGCCUUCCUGGACGAGUAUUGACGCUGAGGCGCGAAAGCGUGGGGAUCAAACAGGAUUAGAUACCCUGGUAGUCCACGCUGUAAACUAUGAACACUAGGUAUUGGAGGAUUUGACCCCUUCAGUGCCGUAGCUAACGCGUUAAAGUGUUCCGCCUGGGAAGUACGGUCGCAAGACU
rnacentral:rRNA from 1 species